rnacentral:rRNA from 1 species
AGAGUUUGAUCCUGGCUCAGAACUAACGCUGGCGGCGCGUCUUAAACAUGCAAGUCGAACGGUAGUCCUUGAGCUUGCUUAGGGAUGAGAGUGGCGAACGGGUGAGUAACACGUGGAUAAUCUGCCUCCGGGUUGGGGAUAACUGUCCGAAAGGGCAGCUAAUACCGAAUGAGAUGGUGGUUACAUAAGUAGCAGCCAUUAAAGGUGGGGACCGCAAGGCCUACUGCCUGGAGAUGAGUCCGCGGCUGAUUAGCUUGUUGGUGGGGUAACGGCCUACCAAGGCGACGAUCAGUAGCCGGCCUGAGAGGGUGAACGGCCACAUUGGGACUGAGAUACGGCCCAGACUCCUACGGGAGGCAGCAGUUAAGAAUCUUGCACAAUGGGCGCAAGCCUGAUGCAGCGACGCCGCGUGAAUGAUGAAGGCUUUAGGGUUGUAAAGUUCAGUAAGCAGGGAAGAAUAAGCAUCGGGUAAUAUUCGGUGUGAUGACGGUACCUGCCUAAAGCCCCGGCUAACUACGUGCCAGCAGCCGCGGUAAUACGUAUGGGGCGAGCGUUGUUCGGAAUUAUUGGGCGUAAAGGGCGUCUAGGCGGGAAAUUAAGUUAGGUGUGAAAGCUAUGGGCUCAACCCAUAAACUGCAUCUAAAACUGAUUUUCUUGAGUUCGGGAGAGGAGAGCGGAAUUCCAGGUGUAGCGGUGAAAUGCGUAGAUAUCUGGAAGAACACCAGUGGCGAAGGCGGCUCUCUGGCCUAGAACUGACGCUGAAGCGCGAAAGCGUGGGGAGCGAACAGGAUUAGAUACCCUGGUAGUCG